UACGUAGGGUGCAAGCGUUAAUCGGAAUUACUGGGCGUAAAGCGUGCGCAGGCGGUUUUGUAAGUCAGAUGUGAAAUCCCCGGGCUUAACCUGGGAACUGCGUUUGAAACUACAAGGCUAGAGUGUGGCAGAGGGGGGUGGAAUUCCACGUGUAGCAGUGAAAUGCGUAGAGAUGUGGAGGAACACCGAUGGCGAAGGCAGCCCCCUGGGUUAACACUGACGCUCAGGCGCGAAAGCGUGGGGAGCAAACAGG
rnacentral:rRNA from 1 species